UUGGAAAAAGAUACAGUGGCCAGCACUCUGGCAUCCAUAACAACAGGGUUUUCAGGCACUGAUGUUGCAAAUGUCUCCAAUGAAUCUGCCUUGAUUACUAAAAGACACCCUUCAGAUGCCAUUAAUGAGAAGCACUUUGAACAAGCAAUUAAGUAGAGGCUUGGAGAAAAACAUCCCAAGUUCUGAAGUCUGAGAAGAAGACUGUGGCUUACCACGAGCAGGUCAUGCAAUCGCAGGCUGGUAUCUGGAGCAUGCAGAUCCACUCUUAAAGGUGUCCAUCAAUCCCUUUGGGGUAAGUAGGGUUCAGUAUUUGCCAAGGAGCAGUAUCUGUACAAAACAGAGCAGCUUCUGGACAGAAUGUGCAUAAAUCUGGGUGGAUGUGUUUCUG
rnacentral:lncRNA from 1 species